UAGCUCAAGUAGUAGAGCGCAUGCUUAACAUGCAUGAGGUCCUGGGUUCCAUCCCCAG
rnacentral:tRNA from 1 species